AUCACCUGCUGAAUUUAAGCAUAUAAGUAAGCGGAGGACAAGAAACUAAACAGGAUCCCCAUAGUAAUGGCGAAUGAACCGGGAUAAACUCAGCAUGGAAAUUGGGGCCUUUGGCUUUGACUUGUAAUCUGGUGAGGCAUUGCCAACAGAGGCGCAUAUGUAAGUCUCUUGGAAAAGAGCAUCAACGAAGGUGAGAGUCCUGAUUGUCAUGUGCAGCCCCCCUGUGCACGGUGUGCCUUCUAAGAGUCACGUUCCUUGGGAUUGGAGCGCAAAUUGGGUGGUAACUUUCAUCUGAAGUUAAACAAUGGUUUGGGACCGAUAGGAAACAAGUACCAUGAGGGAAAGGUGAAAAGGACUUUGGAAAGAGAGUUAAAAGUGCCUGAAAUUGCUGAAGGGGAAGCGAAUGGAACCAGUAGUGCUGGGUGAGAUUGUCACAUGCCACAAGGAUUGGUUGCUGCCACAACGCAAGUGUGAUGGCGAUGUGUGAAUUGCUAGUGUGUGGUGUGUCUUACCUAGUGGGUCAUUGUGGGUUUAUGCAUUAAGAUAAGUCAAAGCAAGCGGGAGCAAGUUUACGAGUUUGUGAAUGUGUGUUGUUAUGCUUGUGCGUAAGCUUUAGUGUUUGUCUGGCUGCAGGGCUGUCCAUCCUCAAGCAGGACUUGUGGUUGCGAUGAGCAUAACCUUCUGCACAGAUMUUGACGAAAUGGUUUCAUUCGACCCGUCUUGAAACACGGACCAAG
rnacentral:rRNA from 1 species